rnacentral:rRNA from 1 species
UACGGGGGGGGCAAGCGUUGUUCGGAAUUACUGGGCGUAAAGGCUCGUAGGCGGCCAACUAAGUCAGACGUGAAAUCCCUCGGCUUAACCGGGGAACUGCAUCUGAUACUGGAUGGCUUGAGUUCGGGAGAGGGAUGCGGAAUUCCAGGUGUAGCGGUGAAAUGCGCAGAUAUCAGGAGGAACACCAAUUGCGAAGGCAGCUCGCUGGGACGUUACUGACGCUGAGACGCGAAAGCGUGGGGAGCAAACAGG